rnacentral:lncRNA from 1 species
GGUAGGCACAGGGCCUGCUGGGGCUCAGGAGCUUGGAGUGUGUGGUUGGGGCAGGCCUGGGGGGUCAUUCUCUGGAGCCAGCUGUGUGGCUUCAGGCAGCAGUCAGCGACUUGGCUGCAGUGGGCUGAGAGUUCCUUGUCUGAGGAAGGGAGCUGUCAUGAGGGAGGGGUCCAUGGCCAGAUGUGAACGCAGAAUGCACUGAGCCAGGGCCUGGUGACUGCUUGGGAACAGCCAGUGAUGAGAAGGGGUUAGGCAGCCUUUGCCCCUGGGGCUGCACAGGAAGCCCUAGCCAGCGACCUGGUGACUCCCCUGAGCUGGAAGAGGCUCCGACUCCAGAGGGCAUUGCCUAUGGGGCUUUGCACGGGUGGAAGCCAGGCCAGCCAAGAGGACCUGUUCCUGCUGGAUGUGCUGCACACCUAGGAACCUUGUGCUUGCCUGCCA